GGGAGCGGUUGGCCCUCUGGUGAGGCCCGCGGUCUUCAAAACCGUUGUGCCGGCGUUCCGCGUCGGCAGGUGGGUUCGAUUCCCACACGUUCCCGC
rnacentral:tRNA from 1 species